GAGGGUAUAGCUCAAAUGGUAGAGCACAUGCUUAGCAUGCAUGAGGUCCUGGGUUCAAUCCCUAGUACCUUCA
rnacentral:tRNA from 1 species